rnacentral:rRNA from 1 species
GACGAACGCUGGCGGCGUGCUUAACACAUGCAAGUCGAACGGUGAAGCGCCUUCCUUUUUGGUGGGUGUGGAUGAGUGGCGAACGGGUGAGUAACACGUGAGUAACCUGCCCCCUUCUUCUGGAUAACCGCAUGAAAGUGUGGCUAAUACGGGAUAUUCUGGGUCUGUCGCAUGAUGGGUCUGGGAAAGAUAUUGUUUCGGUGGGGGAUGGGCUCGCGGCCUAUCAGCUUGUUGGUGGGGUGAUGGCCUACCAAGGCGGUGACGGGUAGCCGGCCUGAGAGGGUGGACGGUCACACUGGGACUGAGACACGGCCCAGACUCCUACGGGAGGCAGCAGUGGGGAAUAUUGCACAAUGGGCGCAAGCCUGAUGCAGCGACGCCGCGUGAGGGAUGGAGGCCUUCGGGUUGGGAACCUCUUUCGCCAGUGAAGCAGGCCUGCCUCGUUUGUGGGUGGGUGGACGGGAGCUGGAUAAGAAGCGCCGGCUAACUACGU